UACAGAGGGUGCGAGCGUUAAUCGGAAUUACUGGGCGUAAAGCGCACGUAGGCGGCUUGGUAUGUCGGGUGUGAAAUCCCCGGGCUCAACCUGGGAACUGCAUCCGAAACUGCCUUGCUCGAGUAUGGGAGAGGGAAGUGGAAUUUCCGGUGUAGUGGUGAAAUGCGUAGAUAUCGGGAGGAACACCAGUGGCGAAGGCGACUACCUGGCCUGUUCUUGACGCUGAGGCGCGAAAGCUAGGGGAGCAAACGGG
rnacentral:rRNA from 1 species